AAAGUGCCAUUGGGGCCUCAGGGAUGAACGCUGGCGGCGUGCCUAAUACAUGCAUGUGCGAGCGAAUGGAUUAAGAGCUUGCUCUUAUGAAGUUAGCGGCGGCGGCGGACGGGUGAGUAACACGUGGGUAACCUGCCCAUAAGACUGGGAUAACUCCGGGAAACCGGGGCUAAUACCGGAUAACAUUUUGAACCGCAUGGUUCGAAAUUGAAAGGCGGCUUCGGCUGUCACUUAUGGAUGGACCCGCGUCGCAUUAGCUAGUUGGUGAGGUAACGGCUCACCAAGGCAACGAUGCGUAGCCGACCUGAGAGGGUG
rnacentral:rRNA from 1 species